GAGUAAAAGUCGUAACAAGGUUUCCGUAGGUGAACCUGCGGAAGGAUCAUUCAUAAUAAAGUGUUUUAUGGCACUUUUUAAAAAUCCAUAUCCACCUUGUGUGCAAUGUUAGAUCUCGUCAAUCUUGGCGAGAUUUUUAUACAUCAACUCAUUCUUUAACUAAUUUGUCUGAAAAAUAUUAUGAAUACUUAAUUCAAAAUACAACUUUCAACAACGGAUCUCUUGGCUCUC
rnacentral:misc_RNA from 1 species